GAUGAACGCUAGCGGCAGGCCUAACACAUGCAAGUCGAGGGGCAGCAUAAUUCGCUUGCGAAUUGAUGGCGACCGGCGCACGGGUGCGUAACGCGUAUGCAACCUACCCUGUACAGAGGGAUAGCCCGGAGAAAUUCGGAUUAAGACCUCAUGGUAUUGUUUGAUCGCAUGAUUGAAUAAUUAAAGGUUACGGUACAGGAUGGGCAUGCGUCCUAUUAGUUAGAUGGUGGGGUAACGGCUUACCAUGACGACGAUAGGUAGGGGGCCUGAGAGGGUGAUCCCCCACACUGGUACUGAGACACGGACCAGACUCCUACGGGAGGCAGCAGUGAGGAAUAUUGGUCAAUGGACGCAAGUCUGAACCAGCCAUGCCGCGUGCAGGAAGAAUGUCCUAUGGAUUGUAAACUGCUUUUAUUUGAGAAUAACCCCCUUUACGAGCUAGAGGGCUGAAUGUAUCAAAUGAAUAAGCACCGGCUAACUCCG
rnacentral:rRNA from 1 species